CACAACCGAGACGGUAGUAAAAGAGGGGAAAACUCCUUUACAUUUCGACAUUUUUUAUACUAAAUCCCAUUUAUUUUGUAGUUAAUUGUUAGAUAAGGUCAUAACUUCGUCAAGUUUUCGUUACAGGGGGUUUCUGUUCCUGCAGCCUUCCAGCGACACUUCAGUCGUACUGUGUGUGUACUUGCUUUCCGCGUAUGACGAUACGGACACGAACAAUAUACUGCCACCUACUGUACUGUAGUAAAAUGACGUGUAUGAUUGAAUACUGUGGCAAACGCAGUAAAAACAGACAUCCUUUAAACAUCUGAUAAAUGUGUACUACAAAAAAGGUUUUCUGUGCUAUGUGCUAUAAGUCUGAGGUAGGACCAUCCUUGUGGUUUGAGUGGAACAAUGGGGGUAUUGAGACCAAAAUAAACAAUGUGCCACUCUAGACAGCUGUGGACAAAAUAUGCAGUCAGAGUAGCCUAUUUUCUCAAACAGAAAGAGAAUUCCAGGCCAAAAGGACUCAACAGAGACAGCAUUUUAGAUGAGGAGCAACCAGUACAUCAAAGCAAAAAGAUGCUAUGAUGUUGUCUGAGGCACCUUAUUAUUUGUUAUCUGUCUUCAGAGGAAAGGCAGCUUGGAGGUUGCUACAGCUACACAGGGAGAAUUUCAGCAGCUCAGUUUCAUACUUGCAACUAAUAAUGAAUAAUAGUUAGAAGACAGCGGAAAGAAUUGGCAUUGCAGAGACACACACCAAGAGACACACACACAGGCAGCUGAAGCGAGUUUGACUGACGUGCACAGGAGAUCAGGCACGUGCACGGAAGGUCGUGCACGCACACACAAACAUGGAGCACAGCAUAAUUACAACUGUUGGAUUAAAAUAAAAGUACU